GACGAACCGAGCGAACGUUGUCCGGAAUCACUGGGCUUAAAGGGCGCGUAGGCGGGUGCUCAAGUCCGGGGUGAAAUCCUCCAGCUCAACUGGAGAACUGCCUCGGAUACUGGGUGUCUCGAGUGUGGUAGGGGUAUGCGGAACUAUCGGUGGAGCGGUGAAAUGUGUUGAUAUCGAUAGGAACUCCGGUGGCGAAGGCGGCAUACUGGACCACUACUGACGCUGAUGCGCGAAAGCCAGGGGAGCAAACGGG
rnacentral:rRNA from 1 species